CUGUGUCCAUAAAAUCUGUCUGUCAGGUGACCUCGAGGAGAAAAAGAAUU
rnacentral:lncRNA from 1 species